rnacentral:rRNA from 1 species
UACGUAGGGGGCUAGCGUUGUCCGGAAUCAUUGGGCGUAAAGAGCGUGUAGGCGGUCCGGUAAGUCCGCUGUGAAAGUCGGGGGCUCAACCCUCGAAUGCCGGUGGAUACUGUCGGGCUAGAGUACGGAAGGGGCGAGUGGAAUUCCUGGUGUAGCGGUGAAAUGCGCAGAUAUCAGGAGGAACACCAAUGGCGAAGGCAGCUCGCUGGAACGGUACUGACGCUGAGGCGCGAAAGCGUGGGGAGCGAACAGG